rnacentral:lncRNA from 1 species
ACUAUUUAACAAAAUAGUGAGGACUACUAAUACUAUCAUCUGGUCCAUCACUCCGUUCCCUGACUCGUCCCAGCUAUAUUCUCAUUUCCUGAAGAGAACAGUGAAAGAAAGGAUGAGCUCAACUAGCCCAGUAAGAAAUAUUAUGACUAAGAUAAUGCAGAAUAAAUUAUCAUUAGCCUUCAACAGUGUUAAACUGAUAAAAUAUAACAAACAUCAAGUUUAACUGCAGCGGAACAAGCAAUCCAUUAGAAG